rnacentral:lncRNA from 1 species
AUUUGAACAAGAGCUUUUAGACAAUGCAUAAGAGGACAGAAGGAGUCACACACACUUUGUUUUGCCUCCAGGUGGGUACUACCUGACCAGCGUGUAUGCCAGCCUCUGUCUGAUUCAAGGCAUGGAGCAGGACAAGCCUUUCUCCGACUGCCUGACACCACAGCUCCAGGAAGCACUGAAGGAGUGGAGCAGCAGGCGGAGCCAGGAGGCCCAAAGACAAAAGGAGAAUCAGCGAAACCAAAGGUGCGUUCGGAUACUGUUCCAGGACGGGGAGCGGAGUGCUGUGCGGACGUUGCAGUGGAGAGCCGGGGAGACCUGCCAGGCGCUGGCGCAGCUCUGUGCCUCCACUUUCGGAGUGUCAGACCCACAGCAAUACACUCUGUACUGGCGGAGCGGAGGCGAGAUGAGGGCCUUGCCGCCUCAGGCCCAACCCCAGGACCUGGCCAGCCAGAGUGAGGGGGGCCCCUCACUCUCCUACCUGAGGACCGAUCACGACUUCAGCAAGAUGCGGCGGCUCACCAGAGGUGGCGCUGUGGACCUGAGCGAGUCGGUGUGUGAGGAGUGAGUGGGAGGCAUGGAGGCAAGAGGGAGGAGGAGAUAGAUGGUUGCUUUUUUUUCUCUCUCUUUCUCCCUCUUUUAAGUUGUUUUUCAUCGUGAAUUGAGACUCGUCGUGCAGAACCACAGCUCUUCUACAGAAAGACUUUAAAUGGCAACCUUUUACUUAAAGGGACUGACGUGAGGGCAUGACCCACACAGAGACUGUUGCCAAAAGUUGUACCCACUCAUUGUGGCUGAUAGUGUAAAGGAGUGUGCUGUUUGUGACAUGGAAAAAAGUGUAAUAAGUGUAUUUGACUGUAUUUUGAAAACCCAGAGUUACACCAAGAAAGGAUGACAUCAUUGAAGCAGGAGGAGGCUGAAACCCAAAGACAAAUAUUGUGAGGCUACAGUUGCCUGGAAACAAAAUCACUUCCUGUAUGCAGACACACAAAGGCAAAUUGUCCACGUGGUGAUGUAACCCUUUCACAGUGUAGUUCUGGGCAAAAUCUAUAAUGUUUUGAUUAUAUUUAAGUAUAUGCUGGAAUAAAGAUAAAGGGUGAGAAUUAUUAUAUCGAAGACCAAGACUCCAUACCAAAGUGACGGAAAUGUCAAAGACAAAGCUAAUUUGUGGGAAAACAGCCAUUCACUUGCUCAAAAAAAUUGUUUCCAGUGGGCUUUAAAUCAGAAAUGAUGCAGCUUCCCUGCAUAAAAAGUGGUUUUGGCUGUAAGGAAAAUAAAAAUAAAAGUGGGAGAGUGUGGACUAAUCCCAUCAUUGCUCCCAUAGUGCAUCCUACAACAGAUUUGCUAACUUGCAAAUGUUUAUUUCCCUUUUAUAUGAGGUAAAACAUUUAGAAAUCACACUUGAUCUAUGUUUUCAUUUCCCCCUUUUAAGUUCUGUUGUUCUUCUUGACCAAGCGGUCCUGAGACGACUGUCUGACAUAUAAGAAGAGACUGGUUGAAUGUAAAAGUCCAUGUCACCAGCUUCUGGUGACUACUGCUGCAAGUCAUCACGAUCAACUGACUGUUCCAAACGGUGUCAUUACGUAAUAUCAGAUUGUGUAUUAAAAAACAGCCUUUAAUUGUUCAGUUUGUUGAGUAAAUAUUAAACCUAAUAUGGAUUUUCAACACAUUUGGCGUUUUGGUUUUGCUAAAGAGGUUUGCUCUGACGUGUUUUCAACAUUAAUGCAUGCUUUUUCAUUUAAUGUGAACGUUCUCCGGAUGUCGUGUUUGGGCACAUGUGUGUGUGUGAGUAUGAGUGUAUGAAAGGUCACACUUUCUUUUCAAUGUACAAUUGUAUUUUGUCAGGUAACUCAGUAUCGCAAUAAAAAUUGCAAUAUGUUUCCAGACUUGGUACAUCAGUGUUUAACAGGGGGCUGAGGUGGGAAUUAAAAAAUUAUACUUAACUUCAGUUAUUUUGAAAAAAAUGUGUCUUAUAAUAUUUUUACUGCACCAUAAUUUCUAUAUUUACUUGCAAAGAUUUAUGAUAAAAAAACAGUUUUUACCUCAAUGGUCUGUUUUUAUUUAGUAACUUUUUUUAAUUUGUAGUUUGGAUUCGUGAUGCAUCUGCACAAAAUCUACAUCAGCAGAUAAAUCCAAUUAUAAGUCAGUAAAAUGUUUGCCAAAAAUACCUCCUUAUAAUAUGGUUCAGCUUUGUUUGUUUUUUAGCCAUGAACAAAUUGGCAUAUUGUGUUUCAUGUUGCUUAAAAAAAGUCAGAAAUGUUUGGUGGGCCGUAUCAUUUAUAACUUAGAAAAUAUGAGAUUUUGUAAAUGUUCAUCAAUAAAGAAAAAUAAAUUUUAAAUGAUUGGACUUUGCCAAAACUCUGAUAGUAUGCAUCCUUAAUUUAUCUUCCACAUUAGUUAAAGCAGGGAUUUUUUCUUUUUAUUCAAAUAAUUCAAAAAGUUAUUUUACUAUCUGACUAUGUUCAUGAUGGUAUGUUUUCUAUUUUGUGUUAGUUUGAUUUCAUAAAGGCCAUGGAUCUAACAUUUUUUUAAUCUUUUAGUUUUUAAUUUU